GUUCAAAAGGCUCAUUUUCUCAUAGAGCUUGAGGCCAUGUUUGUGAGUGGAGGAACUUGAGGUUUUAGAAAUUUUAUUUAGAUCAUGGAGAUAUUUUCAACUCGAAUGGCUCUUAACUUUGAUCUUGAGUCUAGGCUGCCUGGUUGAACCUACUACUGGUUUUCUUUCUUUUUUUUUUUUUUUGAGACGGAGUUUCCCUGUGUUGCCCAAGCUGGAGUGCAAUGGCGCAAUCUCGGCUCACUGCAACCUCCGCCUCCUGGGUUCAAGCAAUUCUCUUGCCUCAGCCUCCCAAGUAGCUAGGUUUAUAGGCAUGUGCCACCAUGCCUGGCUAAUUUUUUUUGUAUUUAGUAGAGUUAGGUUUUCACCAUGUUGGUCAGGCUGGUCUUGAACUCCCGACCUCAGGUGAUCCACCCGCCUCUGCCUCCCAGUGCUGGGAUUACAGGCGUGAGCCACUGUGCCCGGCGAACCUACUGGUUUUCAAGAGUUGCAUCACUUUAACUGGAACAUAUCAGAAGAGUGGGACCAGAUUUUAAGAGACCCAGACACAUGCAAAUGG
rnacentral:antisense_RNA from 1 species